AGAGUUUGAUCCUGGCUCAGAACGAACGCUGGCGGCGUGGAUAAGACAUGCAAGUCGGACGAGAUUUUUCGUUGUAGCAAUACGAUGGAAAGUCUAGUGGCGAACGGGUGCUUAACACGUGGGCAACCUGCCAUGAAGUGGGGGAUAGCUCGCCGAAAGGCGAAUUAAUACCGCAUGUGAUUAGAGAGGACAUCCUUUCGAAAUUAAAGUCGGGGCAACCUGACGCUUCUUGUGGGGCCCGCGGCCUAUCAGCUAGUUGGUGAGGUAACGGCUCACCAAGGCUUUGACGGGUAGCUGGUCUGAGAGGACGACCAGCCACACUGGGACUGAGACACGGCCCAGACACCUACGGGUGGCAGCAGUCGAGAAUUUUUGACAAUGGGGGAAACCCUGAUCGAGCGACGCCGCGUGGAGGAUGAAGGUCUUCGGAUUGUAAACUCCUGUCAUUGGGGAACAAGGUGCAUACGUUAACUGCGUGUGUAUUGAUAGUACCCGAAGAGGAAGAGACGGCUAACUCUGUGCCAGCAGCCGCGGUAAUACAGAGGUCUCAAGCGUUGUUCGGAUUCAUUGGGCGUAAAGGGUGCGUAGGCGGCGCGGUAAGUCGGGUGUGAAAUCUCGGAGCUUAACUCCGAAACUGCAUUCGAUACUGCCGUGCUUGAGGACUGGAGAGGAGACUGGAAUUUACGGUGUAGCGGUGAAAUGCGUAGAUAUCGUAAGGAAGACCAGUGGCGAAAGGCGGGUCUCUGGACAGUUCCUAACGCUGAGGCACGAAAGGUCAGGGGAGCAAACGGGAUUAGAUACCCCGGUAGUCCUGACAGUAAACGGUGCACGUUUGGUGUGGGAGGAUUCGACCCCUUCUGCGCCGGAGCUAACGCGUUAAACGUGCCGCCUGGGGAGUACGGUCGCAGAUUAAAACUCAAAGAAAUUGACGGGGCCCGCACAAGCCGGUGGGAGUAUGUGGCUA
rnacentral:rRNA from 1 species